CCUACGGGCGGCAGCAGUGGGGAAUAUUGGUCAAUGGGCGCAAGCCUGACCCAGCAACGCCGCGUGAAGGAAGAAGGCUUUCUGGUUGUAAACUUCUUUUUACAGGGAAGAGUAGAAGACGGUACCUGUCGAAUAAGCCACGGCUAACUACGUGCCAGCAGCCGCGGUAAUACGUAGGUGGCAAGCGUUGUCCGGAUUUACUGGGUGUAAAGGGCGUGUAGCCGGGUUGACAAGUCAGAUGUGAAAUCCUGCGGCUUAACCGCAGAAGUGCAUUUGAAACUGUUGAUCUUGAGUAAUGGAGAGGCAGACGGAAUGCGUAGUGUAGCGGUGAAAUGCGUAGAUAUUAGGAGGAACACCAGUGGCGAAGGCGGCUUACUGGACAGUAACUGACGUUGAGGCUCGAAAGCGUGGGGAGCAAACAGGAUUAGAUACCCUUGUAGUC
rnacentral:rRNA from 1 species